GUUCUGAGCUACACAGACAGCUGUAGCACAUGAGUCAUUCAGAUUCCAAAUGCCAUCAGGUGUUCCACGCUAUCCCUUCAUCAGGGGUCCUCAAGCAGGUAGAAUCCCUUCCUACACUGCUACUAGACUCCAACUUCUAACAAAGCCUUUUACAAGGUCAGGUUGCUGCAGAAACUGAGGAGCCAUUUGAAUGCACAAAUAGUGAUCAUUGCACUGAUCCUACCAAUAUUCUGGAACAAAGCAAAUGGACAGAGCACCCUUGACCCCAACUGUGCUGACUGAUAUCCAGUGUACACUGCUCCAAGUGUUUUGAGGUGUUCUUUGGAAGUGAGAGAUUACUUAAUAAUGUAAAGAUUUUCUGGACACAACACAU